GACGAACCGAGCGAACGUUGUUCGGAAUUACUGGGCGUAAAGGGCGCGUAGGCGGACAGUUAAGUUGGGGGUGAAAGCCCGGGGCUCAACCUCGGAAUUGCCUUCAAGUACUGGCUGUCUUGAGUGUGAGAGAGGUGUGUGGAACUCCGAGUGUAGAGGUGAAAGUUCGUAGAUAUUCGGAAGAACACCAGUGGCGAAGGCGACACACUGGCUCACUA
rnacentral:rRNA from 1 species